rnacentral:rRNA from 1 species
GACGAACGCUGGCGGCGUGCCUAAUACAUGCAAGUAGAACGCACAGUUUAUACCGUAGCUUGCUACACCAUAGACUGUGAGUUGCGAACGGGUGAGUAACGCGUAGGUAACCUGCCUGGUAGCGGGGGAUAACUAUUGGAAACGAUAGCUAAUACCGCAUAAUAUUAAUUAUUGCAUGAUAAUUGAUUGAAAGAUGCAACUGCAUCACUACCAGAUGGACCUGCGUUGUAUUAGCUAGUAGGUGAGUAACGGCUCACCUAGGCGACGAUACAUAGCCGACCUGAGAGGGUGAUCGGCCACACUGGGACUGAGACACGGCCCAGACUCCUACGGGAGGCAGCAGUAGGGAAUCUUCGGCAAUGGACGAAAGUCUGACCGAGCAACGCCGCGUGAGUGAAGAAGGUUUUCGGAUCGUAAAGCUCUGUUGUAAGAGAAGAACGGGUGUGAGAGUGGAAAGUUCACACUGUGACGGUAUCUUACCAGAAAGGGACGGCUAACUACGUG